AACGAACGCUGGCGGCAUGCCUAACACAUGCAAGUCGAACGAGACCUUCGGGUCUAGUGGCGCACGGGUGCGUAACGCGUGGGAAUCUGCCCUUGGGUUCGGAAUAACUCGCCGAAAGGCGUGCUAAUACCGGAUGAUGACGUAAGUCCAAAGAUUUAUCGCCCAAGGAUGAGCCCGCGUUGGAUUAGCUAGUUGGUGAGGUAAAGGCUCACCAAGGCGACGAUCCAUAGCUGGUCUGAGAGGAUGAUCAGCCACACUGGGACUGAGACACGGCCCAGACUCCUACGGGAGGCAGCAGUGGGGAAUAUUGGACAAUGGGCGAAAGCCUGAUCCAGCAAUGCCGCGUGAGUUAUGAAGGCCUUAGGGUUGUAAAGCUCUUUUACCCGGGAUGAUAAUGACCGUACCGGGAGAAUAAGCUCCGGCUAACUCCGUG
rnacentral:rRNA from 1 species